rfam:Triticum urartu cultivar G1812 contig77829, whole genome shotgun sequence.
CAAGUACUCCCUCCGUCCGGAAUUACUUGUCAUCAAAAUGGAUGUGUCUAGAACUAAAAUACAUCUAGAUACGUCCAUUUGAAUGGCAAGUAUUUUCGGACGGAGGGAGUACAAG